rnacentral:rRNA from 1 species
UGGGGAAUCUUGGACAAUGGGCGCAAGCCUGAUCCAGCCAUGCCGCGUGAGUGAUGAAGGCCCUAGGGUUGUAAAACUCUUUCGUGGGGGACGAUAAUGACGGUACCCCAAGAAGAAGCUCCGGCUAACUUCGUGCCAGCAGCCGCGGUAAUACGAAGGGGGCUAGCGUUGUUCGGAUUUACUGGGCGUAAAGCGCGUGUAGGCGGACUGGAAAGUUGGGGGUGAAAUCCCGAGGCUCAACCUCGGAACUGCCUCCAAAACUGGCGACCUGGACCUAAGUAGAGGCAAGUGGAAUUGCGAGUGUAGAGGUGAAAUUCGUAGAUAUUCGCAGGAACACCAGUGGCGAAGGCGACUUGCUGGACUUAUGGUGACGCUGAGACGCGAAAGCGUGGGGAGCAAACAGGAUUAGAUACCCGAGUAGUCCCUGAGCGGGCUGGCAAGGCGCAU